GAUGAACGCUGGCGGCGUGCCUAAUACAUGCAAGUCGAGCGAACAGACGAGGAGCUUGCUCCUCUGACGUUAGCGGCGGACGGGUGAGUAACACGUGGAUAACCUACCUAUAAGACUGGGAUAACUUCGGGAAACCGGAGCUAAUACCGGAUAAUAUAUUGAACCGCAUGGUUCAAUAGUGAAAGACGGUUUUGCUGUCACUUAUAGAUGGAUCCGCGCCGCAUUAGCUAGUUGGUAAGGUAACGGCUUACCAAGGCGACGAUGCGUAGCCGACCUGAGAGGGUGGUCGGCCACACUGGAACUGAGACGCGGUCCAGACUCCUACGGGAGGCAGCAGUAGGGAAUCUUCCGCAAUGGGCGAAAGCCUGACGGAGCAACGCCGCGUGAGUGAUGAAGGUCUUCGGAUCGUAAAACUCUGUUAUUAGGGAAGAACAAAUGUGUAAGUAACUAUGCACGUAUUGACGGUACCUAAUCAGAAAGCCACGGCUAACUACGUG
rnacentral:rRNA from 1 species